AUAUAUAUAUCAAACUUCUCUUUGUUGAGUGGUUUGGAUGUGGGGGUUUUGCUGGCUUUGUUCAGCUCCCCUGAAAUGCAUUAGCAGAACAAAACCUGUUCAUUGGUGUGAUAACUAUCUACGCUAUUGAACAUGAGGCAGUUCAGCUUCCUAACAGUCCUCGGACAGUUUACCAUUUU
rnacentral:misc_RNA from 1 species